rnacentral:rRNA from 1 species
CCUACGGGAGGCAGCAGUGAGGAAUAUUGGUCAAUGGACGAGAGUCUGAACCAGCCAAGUAGCGUGAAGGAUGACUGCCCUAUGGGUUGUAAACUUCUUUUAUAUGGGAAUAAAAUGUUCCACGUGUGGGAUUUUGUAUGUACCAUAUGAAUAAGGAUCGGCUAACUCCGUGCCAGCAGCCGCGGUAAUACGGAGGAUCCGAGCGUUAUCCGGAUUUAUUGGGGUUAAAGGGAGCGUAGGUGGAUUGUUAAGUCAGUUGUGAAAGUUUGGGGCUCAACCGUAAAAUUGCAGUUGAAACUGGCAGUCUUGAGUACAGUAGAGGUAGGCGGAAUUCGUGGUGUAGCGGUGAAAUGCGUAGAUAUCACGAAGAACUCCGAUUGCGAAGGCAGUUCACUGGACUGCAACUGACACUGAGGCUCGAAAGUGUGGGUAUCAAACAGGAUUAGAUACCCGUGUAGUC